rnacentral:rRNA from 1 species
AUACGGAGGAUGCAAGCGUUAUCCGGAUUUAUUGGGUUUAAAGGGUGCGUAGGCGGUUUGCUAAGCGGGAGGUGAAAUGCCGGCGCUCAACGUCGGAAGUGCCUCCCGAACUGGUGGACUGGAAUGACUCUGCCGUGGGAGGAAUGUGUAGUGUAGCGGUGAAAUGCUUAGAGAUUACACAGAACACCGAUUGCGAAGGCAUCUCACGAAGGGUUGAUUGACGCUGAGGCACGAAAGCGUGGGGAUCAAACAGGAUUAGAUACCCUGGUAGUCCGCACAGUAAACGAUGGACACCCGCGGUUUGGCCUGUAUGGCUGAGCCGCCAAGCGAAAGCGUUAAGUGUCCCACCUGGGGAGUACGCCGGCAACGGUGAAACUUAAAGGAAUUGACGGGG